rnacentral:rRNA from 1 species
CGAGUAGGCGGUGGAGUAAGUCUGGGGUGGAAUCCUACGGCUUAACCGUAGAACUGCCUUAGAAACUGCUUUACUUGAGUCAGUGAGGGGAGGGCGGAAUUCCUGGUGUAGCGGUGAAAUGCGUAGAUAUCAGGAGGAAGGCCUGUGGCGAAGGCGGCCCUCUGGCACUGUACUGACGCUGAGGCGCGAAAGCGUGGGUAGCAAACAGGAUUAGAUACCCUGGUAGUCCACGCCCUAAACGGUGGGCAUUAGGUGUAGGGCUCGUAAGGGUUCUGUGCCGAAGGGAAACCAUUAAAUGCCCCGCCUGGGGAGUACGGCCGCAAGGUUGAA